UAGGAGCAUUUUAAUGUGGUAUUUUAAUAGUUAAUUCCUCACAUUUUGCUUAGUUAAUUCCUUAACGAAUCGAUUUUUAACUCAAUUUCUAUUUUCUUAGGUACAUUGGAGUAAAUGAUGGUGAAAUGAGCAUUAGGUCCACACUUACCUAUAAAUGAUGGAGAAAAAUGGAAAUGUACUAAAAGGUCAAUUUUACACAUUUUCCUACUCCGGCUAGGAGAAACCAAGCCAAGCAAGGAAGAAGGAGCGGCCGCCUGACCAAAUGAACUCCAAAUGAGCUGAAACUUUCCAGAUCCAUUCUAGACAUCCUAAGGAUCGUUUCUUAUGAAGAGUGCCAGAGCUAGAAUUGAGCGGAAGGCCUUCAAACAGUCAGCCCAAUUUCCUGCAGAAGCAAAACUGGAAAACUGGACCUGUAAGAGGUCCAGCAGCAUUUUCGGCCCAACCACAUGGAAUAAAAAUCUGAAAUUUUACCAGGGUGAUCUACACUCAUAAUGGAACAUUUUUUAUGAAGAGGUCAUAGUGAAAUUGGGAAUGCUUGUUGGAGAAAUAAUUGAAGGAAUAAAGGGGCAGAAACUGAUCUAAAAACAGCUCAACACCACAUGUUCAAGUUUCCUACCCACAUGAAGAAAGCUAGAUGCUUUUCUCUUUUUCCUUGGAUAUAUUUUUCUGCUCCAAUAGAUCAUCAUCACUUCCAUACUUCUACACCUUCAUGCCUUGCUUUCAUUUCAUCAUUACUCCAUCUUUUCCAUAUUUUACAAACCACUUUCAUUAUUUUUCUUCCAUUUAUCAUUUCACUCUUCUUUUUCUUCCCUAUAUAAACACCUUCUCCUCUCACUCUAAACACAAUUCCUUCAUCCAUUUCAUCUUCUUUGUCUCUCCAUUUCCAUUCCAUUUUUCUCUCCAUUCUCUAGUUGCAAAAUUCUGCGUUUUCAAGUAAGAAGAAGAAGAAGAAGAAGGAGCCGGGAAUAUCAUAUCCUCCAUCGUCCACCUUGAAGGCUUGCUUCCAAGAUUCAAGAUUUCAACGUUUCAAGCACUCCAUCUCCAUCUCCAACUCACGGUGUGUACCCUCAAUCCCCGGAAUAGAACGAUCCCUAUUUGCUUAUACUACUAACGAUGUUUUCAGGGUUAAAUUAUGCGCUUGCUUUGAGCGUAUCAAGGUUUGCUCUAGAGAGAACUUAGAUCAUCUUAGAGAUGUUGUUGUUGAAUGUGAAUGUGUUUUUU